GGGUACUGGACUGAGUACUGAAGAGGGACUUCCACUGUUAUUCUACAUGUUAUUGGAUUGUUUGAAUUUCUUCUCGAUUGACGCACCAUGGAAGCGCCUGUCUGCUCCGACUUGGAUGGGACCUUUAGACGAUUAUUUAAACAUAUAUGAAGACAGAAAAAACACGAAACCCACCGGACAGCCAAUCUCCUAAAGCCGUAGACCAUGCCUUUGAGAAACAGUGAAACAUCAGUCAACGUGGUACAUUUGUACAUGGAUAGAGAAAGUCUGGAAUAAAUUAGCAGCAUCAAUAACUUCUGGCAAAGGGAUGAGAUAAGCACACGAAGAGAUACUUCAAAUUUUUGUUCGACUUACUUCUGUGUAGUUUGGAUUUUUAAAGAAACUUAAAAAAUAUCUC